CAGGAAAGGAGAGGGAGCUUUCCCCGAAGACCCUCCUGGACCAGCCCCAGGCUCCUGUGCUGGUGAGGCCGAGGGAGAGGGAUGUGGGCAUAGGACACGUAGCAGGAUUUCCAUUUUAGAGGCAGCCGGACCUGUCUUCAGGUCCCUUCCUUGGUGAGAGACAGGGGUACGCCAGAGGAAGCUGGGCGCUCGGCCUCUGUGCAGCCUCAUCUCCUGGAAUCUGAGUAUUGAAAACUGGGCUUUUACUUCGCACACCUCAGCACAGACUCCCAUGGGAAUCCAGGUCACAGCAAAGCAGCCCUGGGCCUCCAUUCUCCUUUAAGCAAGCAUGACAAUCCUCACUUCACUGAGUUUUUAUUAAAACUAGCAAUGACCUUAGAAAGCAAGGCAUGACCUCAGCUCCACUUUUGAGGCUGCAGUCCAUUCAGAGAGGUUUCGCAGACUCGGUAACGGCCAGAACAGACAGCCUGGGCCCUGCCGCAGGCUGACUCAGAAUCUUUGGGAGUAGUGACCAACUUCUGCUUUUGGAAAAACCUCUACAGGCGGUUCUGAGAAGUCCAAGGGUUGCUGGGAGAGGUUGGUUGCACGCCAGGGCCUGUACUGACCACCUCCACGUGCCACUGGGGCUGUAAGGAGGAAUGGCGGCCGUGGGCAGCCUGCUUGGCCGGCUGAGGCAGAGCACCGUGAAGGCCACCGGACCUGCACUCCGCCGCCUGCACACAUCCUCCUGGCGAGCUGACAGCAGCAGGGCCUCACUCACUCGUGUG
rnacentral:lncRNA from 1 species